UACGUAGGGAGCAAGCGUUGUUCGGAUUUACUGGGCGUAAAGGGCGCGUAGGCGGCGCGGUAAGUCACUUGUGAAGUCUCUGAGCUUAACUCAGAACGGCCAAGUGAUACUGCAGUGCUAGAGUGCAGAAGGGGCAAUCGGAAUUCUUGGUGUAGCGGUGAAAUGCGUAGAUAUCAAGAGGAACACCUGAGGUGAAGACGGGUUGCUGGGCUGACACUGACGCUGAGGCGCGAAAGCCAGGGGAGCAAACGGG
rnacentral:rRNA from 1 species